GAUGAACGCUAGCGGCAGGCUUAAUACAUGCAAGUCGAGGGGUAACAUGGGGUAGCAAUACUCUGAUGACGACCGGCAAACGGGUGCGGAACACGUACGCAACUUUCCCAAAACUGGUGAAUAGCCCUCCGAAAGGAGGAUUAAUACACCGUAACAUAUAGAGGUGGCAUCGCCUUUAUAUUAUAGCUCCGGCGGUUUUGGAUGGGCGUGCGCCUGAUUAGGUAGUUGGUGUGGUAACGGCUCACCAAGCCUACGAUCAGUAACUGGUGUGAGAGCACGACCAGUCACACGGGCACUGAGACACGGGCCCGACUCCUACGGGAGGCAGCAGUAAGGAAUAUUGGUCAAUGGACGAAAGUCUGAACCAGCCAUGCCGCGUGAAGGAUGAAGGCCCUCUGGGUUGUAAACUUC
rnacentral:rRNA from 1 species